rnacentral:rRNA from 1 species
UACGUAGGGAGCAAGCGUUGUCCGGAAUCAUUGGGCGUAAAGCGCGCGUAGGCGGCCUCAUAAGUCCGCUGUGAAAGUCAAAGGCUCAACCUUUGAAAGCCGGUGGAUACUGUGAGGCUAGAGUACGGAAGAGGCGAGUGGAAUUCCUGGUGUAGCGGUGGAAUGCGCAGAUAUCAGGAAGAACACCCGUGGCGAAGGCGGCUCUCUGGAACGAAACUGACGCUGAGACGCGAAAGCGUGGGGAGCAAACAGG